rnacentral:rRNA from 1 species
UACAGAGGUCUCAAGCGUUGUUCGGAUUCAUUGGGCGUAAAGGGUGCGUAGGCGGCGCGGUAAGUCGGGUGUGAAAUCUCGGGGCUUAACUCCGAAACUGCAUUCGAUACUGCCGUGCUUGAGGACUGGAGAGGAGACUGGAAUUUACGGUGUAGCGGUGAAAUGCGUAGAUAUCGUAAGGAAGACCAGUGGCGAAGGCGGGUCUCUGGACAGUUCCUGACGCUGAGGCACGAAGGUUAGGGGAGCAAACGGG